AUUGAACGCUGGCGGCAUGCUUACACAUGCAAGUCGAACGGUAACGGGCCUUCGGGUGCCGACGAGUGGCGAACGGGUGAGUAAUGCAUCGGAACGUACCCGGGAGUGGGGGAUAACUAUCCGAAAGGAUAGCUAAUACCGCAUAUUCUGUGAGCAGGAAAGCAGGGGACCGCAAGGCCUUGUGCUUCCGAAGCGGCCGAUGUCAGAUUAGCUAGUUGGUGGGGUAAAGGCCUACCAAGGCGACGAUCUGUAGCGGGUCUGAGAGGAUGAUCCGCCACACUGGAACUGAGACACGGUCCAGACUCCUACGGGAGGCAGCAGUGGGGAAUUUUGGACAAUGGGCGAAAGCCUGAUCCAGCCAUGCCGCGUGAGUGAAGAAGGCCUUCGGGUUGUAAAGCUCUUUCAGACGGAAAGAAAUCUUCUGGGCUAAUACCCCGGGAGGAUGACGGUACCGUAAGAAGAAGCACCGGCUAACUACGUGCCAGCCGCCGCAGUAA
rnacentral:rRNA from 1 species